rnacentral:rRNA from 1 species
CCUACGGGUGGCAGCAGUGGGGAAUAUUGCACAAUGGGGGAAACCCUGAUGCAGCGAAGCCGCGUGAGUGAGGAAGUAUUUCGGUAUGUAAAGCUCUAUUAGCAGGGAAGAAAAUGAGGGUACCUGACGAAGAAGCCCCGGCUAACUACGUGCCAGCAGCCGCGGACAUACGUAGGGGGCAAGCGUUAGCCGGAUUUACUGGGUGUAAAGGUAGCGUAGACGGGUAAUCAAGAUCGACGGUAAAACACAGGGCUCAACUUCGGGAGUGCUUUUGAAACUGAGUAGCUAGAGUGCAGGAGAGGUAAGCGGAAUUCCUAGUGUAGCGGUGAAAUGCGUAGAUAUUAUGAGGAACACCAGUGGCGAAGGCAGCUUACUGGACUGUAACUGACGUUGAGGCUCGAAAGCGUGGGGAGCAAACAGGAUUAGAUACCCUGGUAGUC